UAAAGAAAGCGUAAUAGCUCACUGGUCGAGUCGGCCUGCGCGGAAGAUGUAACGGGGCUAAACCAUGCACCGAAGCUGCGGCAGCGACACUAUGUGUUGUUGGGUAGGGGAGCGUUCUGUAAGCCUGCGAAGGUGUGCUGUGAGGCAUGCUGGAGGUAUCAGAAGUGCGAAUGCUGACAUAAGUAACGAUAAAGCGGGUGAAAAGCCCGCUCGCCGGAAGACCAAGGGUUCCUGUCCAACGUUAAUCGGGGCAGG
rnacentral:rRNA from 2 species